GGAAUUUCUCUUGAGUCUUCGUGACCUGACCGUUAUACUGUACUGAUAAGCAUGUUGUGUUAGACCAAGGUAAUGUUCCCUUAAAAGGACAUAAAAUAAAAAAACUAGCUGUCCUUGUGCAACUGAGGAAGGGCCACCUGCCUGAUCUGCUUUCCUAUCACCCCAUCCCCGCCCUUCUUGCGGUUUUUGUGCUUAAAUUCAGAGCGCUUAGUCUGUGAGGCGCGCAUUCUCGGGAUCGAUUCCAAGAGUCUGCGUCAGCCAGGCCUGAAAUAAACGCCUUUGCCUCCCAAAUUUGGAGUCUCCGAGUCUUGGCUUCCCACGGGGGUUAUGAGACCACCACAAUCCACACCUUUUAAAACCCUGAAAUGAAAGAAUGAACUCAGAGAUCCUCUAGUUUAUCAGAGAGGAAAGUUAGGUUCACUUCAGCUGCAAAUGAGGAAAACCAUCAGAAAAGCGAUGAUUUAAAUGAUACAGAAAACAUUUUCUUCCUCAUGCAAAAACACGGAACAGAUUUAAUGGAGGGAAGAGAAGACAAAAACAAGUGGGAAGAAGAGAGAAUGGUGGAAGUAGAAUAAGUGAACUGAAUAAGAGGGAAGCGAAACUGUCAGCUUGUCUUCAGCAUUAUAUAAAGGUUAAACCUACUAGUAUAAAUUAUUUCAUGUCUGCCUAUAGACCAAAAAUGAGCAGUGAUUCUGUGCUCAAAACAUCUAUUUAGAUGCACGCGUGGUGGUGCAUGGCUGUAAUCCCAGC
rnacentral:lncRNA from 1 species